CUCCACUGUUGGGAGAGACAGGCCCUUAGUUUGUGCAGUGGGAACUGGAGCAGUCCCUCAUGCCCACACCCCUUCAGGCCAAGAGAGCUUUAAGCUUCCUUUGGACUUUGUGUGUGUCUAAGCCUUUGCUCAAGCUAUUCCAUCCGUCUGCCUAACCUGUCCAUCCCACACUUCACCUGGGUGAUGCCUCCUGAUUCAAGGUUCCACCAGGAAAGCCUCCUGACUCCCACCUGAGACUGAGUUGUGUGCUCCUCAUCUGGGACCUCAAGAAUGCAACUUGCCUGUUCCACCAUUGGCCUGAACUGCCUGAGGGUCAUGCCGAGUAGCCAGCACAGAGGUGCUCCAUAAAUGUGUAGGAGGAAAUGACUGAGGCAGACAGAUCUGGAGCCCUUAGGAGAUGAGGAAAUCGAGGUGCAGGGAGAUGAAACAAGAUGCCUGGUGUUACACAGCUUCAAAGCAGCAGAGCUGAGAUUGGAGCCCUGUGCUCUGCUGUACCCAAUAGCCAUCCUGAUAUCCUGCUUAGGGCGCUGGCAUGGGGACAGAAAGACACCCUUAGAACGCCUCAACGACUCUGCACAGCCGAAGCACAUCGGUCUCAUCAAGAUUCCUGUGAUUGGCAGAUCUGAACGGGUCGGCAGCCAAUCAACUGACGGUCCAGGAAGGCUUGAGCACCCCACCCCCGCACGUUGACAGCCACUUGGGUAGCUGCUGGGAGUGCUACUGCCCUCUGCUGGGCUUGUCCAGCUAUGAGCCGGCACAGUUAGCUCGCUCUGCUGGGUGGUGGAUGAAGGCGCCGGCGGGAGGUGGUGGGGCCGCCACCUUGGCCAUGGUCUUUCAGAGCUCCCAGUGUUCUUCCUCCUAGUGAGGCAUUUGCGGUUCUCAUUUUCUUAUUUGCCCUUCCAGAAGGAGUCGAUCCAAACACAGGCAUUUACAUAUAUAUAGGUAUUUAACAAGAGUACAAUAGUAUGUGUGAAGCUCUGGUGUAGAUCCUGCAACAUGCAGCCCUCAAAACAACUGGAGGAAAAUAGCCUUACAGUAGAAAUCCUGGCAGACAUCGCCUUAACCAAGGGAUCAAAGUUAACGUCACCAGCAAUGAGUCAUAGUGACAUCAUAAGCCCUUGGUAUGGGAAGGAGACAUCACCUUUCUGGUAUCCUUUCCAGUAAUGCAAAAUCUCCAGUCUAAUCUAGACAAACCAAACUGAGAGGCUACAAAGCUACUGACCAGUACUUUUCAACAGUGUCAAGGUGAACCACCACCACUACCAAAACCACCACCACCCCUUACCACCUUACCCCCCCACUCUUAAAAAAAAAGUCAAGGUCAUGAAAAAUCUUUAGCCUUUAUCACAGGCUAAAGAGUCCAAGAAGACAUGAAAACUAAAUGCAGUGUGGGAUCUUGGAUUGGAUCUGGAACAGAAAAAGGACAUGAGUAGAAAAACUGCAGAAAUCCAAACCAAGUCUGUAGUUUAUUAAUGGUAUUGUGUCAAGGUUAAUUUCUUAGUUUUGAUAAAUGUACUAUGUUUAUGUAAGAUGUUAACAGUAGGGGCAGCUGAGUGAAAGGUAUAUAGGAACUCCGUGCUAUUUGUGCAACUUUUCUGUAAGCCUAAAAUUAUCUCCAAAUAAAAAGUUAAA